ACGAACGCUGGCGGCGUGCUUAACACAUGCCAGUCGAACGGAAAGGCCCUGCUUUUGUGGGGUGCUCGAGUGGCGAACGGGUGAGUAACACGUGAGUAACCUGCCCUUGACUUUGGGAUAACUUCAGGAAACUGGGGCUAAUACCGGAUAGGAGCUCCUGCUGCAUGGUGGGGGUUGGAAAGUUUCGGCGGUUGGGGAUGGACUCGCGGCUUAUCAGCUUGUUGGUGGGGUAGUGGCUUACCAAGGCUUUGACGGGUAGCCGGCCUGAGAGGGUGACCGGCCACAUUGGGACUGAGAUACGGCCCAGACUCCUACGGGAGGCAGCAGUGGGGAAUAUUGCACAAUGGGCGGAAGCCUGAUGCAGCAACGCCACGUGCGGGAUGACGGCCUUCGGGUUGUAAACCGCUUUCGCCUGUGACGAAGCGUGAGUGACGGUAAUGGGUAAAGAAGCACCGGCUAACUACGUG
rnacentral:rRNA from 1 species